rnacentral:rRNA from 1 species
AACGAACGCUGGCGGCAUGCCUAACACAUGCGAGUCGAACGAGACCUUCGGGUCUAGUGGCGCACGGGUGCGUAACGCGUGGGAACCUGCCCUUAGGUUCGGAAUAACUCCCCGAAAGGGGUGCUAAUACCGGAUAAUGUCUUCGGACCAAAGAUUUAUCGCCCUUGGAUGGGCACGCGUUGGAUUAGCUAGUUGGUAGGGUAAAAGCCUACCAAGGCGUCGCUCCAUAGCUGGUCAGAGAGGAAGAGCAGCCACACUGGGACUGGGACACGGCCCAGAAUCCUACGCGAGGGAGCAGUGGGGAAUAUUGGACAAUGGGCGAAAGCCUGAAGCAGCAAUGCCGCGUGAGUGAUGAAGGCCUUAGGGUUGUAAAGCUCUUUUACCCGGGAUGAUAAUGACAGUACCGGGAGAAUAAGCACCGGCUAACUCCGUG